rnacentral:rRNA from 1 species
GUCGAGAAUUUUUCACAAUGGGCGAAAGCCUGAUGGAGCGACGCCGCGUGGGGGAUGAAUGGCUUCGGCCCGUAAACCCCUGUCAUCUGCGAGCAAUGCUCCGCGCCUAAUACGUGCGGAGUUGAUAGUAGCGGAAGAGGAAGGAACGGCUAACUCUGUGCCAGCAGCCGCGGUAAUACAGAGGUUCCAAGCGUUGUUCGGAUUCACUGGGCGUAAAGGGUGCGUAGGCGGUUGGGUAAGUCUGAUGUGAAAGCUCCGGGCCCAACCCGGAAACGUCAUCGGAUACUAUCCGGCUUGAGGGUUGGAGGGGGGACUGGAAUUCUCGGUGUAGCAGUGAAAUGCGUAGAUAUCGAGAGGAACACCCGUGGCGAAGGCAAGUCCCUGGAAAACUCCUGACGCUGAGGCACGAAAGCUAGGGGAGCAAACAGGAUUAGAAACCCCGGUAGUCC